GCCAGAGGCAAUCAGCUUGAGAGUUAGCUGCGCAGAGGACUGGAAGUAGAAAAUCAGCACGGAUGUUAAAGUGACAAUCAGCAACCAGCCUGGCAGGUCUUCAGCUGGAGGGUCUUCACUUUUUUCCUGUGAAAGGUGAUUCUUUGCCAGUUGAGAGCAGGCCUGAGACCAUGUUUCUCCUGGAAGUACUGGAAGGACCCUCAUAGAGGGGUACAAGGAAAAUGCCAGCAAGGACUGCAGUUCCCUAAAGCUAAGGCCUGCACAGAGCACCUGCAAGAGUCAAAGGAAGGGGACAUGGUCUUUUGCUUGGGGACCUGCUGAGUUCUGGAAGAAUAGAAAUCUCAACACAGGUAUCCAUGAAAGGAGCUGAAAUGAAGAGAGGAUAUCCUUAAGUGAUGGACUUCUAAAGUGACCAUGAGAGGUUCUGCUGCCUGCCUCACAAGUGCAAGGACCCAAGUUCGAUCCCCGUUACCUUCCAAAAAACAACAAAAAAACUAAAGUGACCGUGAAAAGAGACCAAG
rnacentral:lncRNA from 1 species